AAGAGAUGCCUGAAAUUUAAAGGAUUAUUUUGAUGUAAUAAAUUAUGUUGUUUAACUCUCUUUAC
rnacentral:tRNA from 1 species